ensembl:lncRNA novel transcript
AAUAAAUAUGGAGGGCAGUGUAAAGCUCAGGGCCCUUGUCCACUAGAGACAAGGUGCCCUCCGACCCCUUCUUCCAAAUAUACUCUUUUGCCUCUUGUCUUUUAUUCCCGUGUUUGCCCCCUUUGUUCAGUCCCCCUAGGUCCAUGCAGGUUACAUAGUGGUGCCCCAAACAGUGACACAAUUGGGUUCUCAACAAGUGGUGACUCAGAACAGGGACGCCAAGGAUGCCAACAAGUGGCGUCUGAACACGGGACUUCGACGAUGUGAACAAAAAAGAUCUGCUGGAGCAGAGAAGCUGAAAUUGACAAGGCAAACGGGGACCCCAGGAUGAGUCUGCCGGCAGCAUAUAUAAGGCAGGGACUAUAGGAAAUGAAGGUGAACUCGUGGAGAUUUUGGAGAGAAUUUAAUGAAGAGGCUGUUUACCAAGGAUCUCUCUCUGUCUCCGAGGCUGGAGUGCAAUGUUGCAAUCAGGGCUCACUGCAGCCUCGACCUCCUGGGCUCAACUGAUCUUCGUACCACAGCCUCAUGAGUAACUGGGACUACAGAUAGUAUCUCAUGAUAUGAAUGGUCCUGGAUUUACUUACACAUCCUCCUUUGGAUGAGCAAAAAGUAAAUUUUUCACAGUGAUAGACAUUUGUAGUGCUUUUUAAAGGCACUGGUUCUGGUGGACACUGAGAGACAAUUUUUAUUUGCUGCACGUGGAAAGGACAACAACAUACCUGGACAGAAAUGCCUCGAGGAUGUACUGAAGGCCCCUCUCACUUUUCACAGCCAUAACUGUAAGUUUCCUGGGGCCUCUCCAGAAGACAAGCAGAUGCCGCUAUGCUUCCUGAACAGCCCACAGAACUAUGAAAAAGUUAAGGCUAGACGGGUCAAGCCACUUGACUGAUACCACAGGUCAGAGCAUACAAAGGACUCAAGAUCAGACUAGUAAUCAAGGAGGCGUGUUGAGCCAAGUGUACAAAUUCAACAGCUGGGAAGGUAUUAUGGGGAGGUCUUGUAACAUUUUAUUCAGGUUUCCUUGAAAAGAACUGAAAACUGAUGAAACUUUUAGACCGAAUAUUCCUUUGAAAACAUGAAUAGAAUUCAUUUGCUGAGAGGCAUGUAUUGAAACGUGAUAUCUAGUGCAUGGUUAUUUUUCACUUUCUAAAUUAAACUGACAUAGAGAGUUUGAGAAAUAAGUUUAAGAAAUAGACAUGGCUUAUGAUUGAAAGCACAAUUUUCCAUCUAAAUGUUGGUCCGUGUUCAUCUUUAUCUCAGUUAGUAGCAACCUUUGUUCCGCAGCAGUUGUUCGUUGAUUGUUAUGGUCUGUCGACAGCUCCAGCUCGUGCCAUCUUCCCAAUGUACCAACUUCUCUUUCUCUGGUCAGGUUGCGCUGUUGCCUUUGUAUGUCUUCCCACCUCAUGGAUGUUAGUUUCAUUAUGAGAAUAUUGAAAAACAGUCUUCCAGUCAUAACCCCACUGGCUUCCUUUUCUCUGUCACUUCCAAACCGCAGGACCAUUGCUGGGCACCAUGUCUACCCACCCAUGAGAGUUAGGAAUAAACACAAACGAGUUCAAUUCAGUUCAGCAAACAGUUAUUGUGCAUCUAUUUUAUGCCAGGAACUGCAGAAGGUGCUGGGGUACAAAGUGAAGAAGAUAAUUUGCUUGGUCUCAAGGGGGAGCUCCUGGUCUAAUACCCAGGCUCCUAUAAUCCCUCAGCAUUAUCCUCUCCACUUUGCCUGUUCCCCUGUUGCUCAUUACCUGUGCAACCGCUCCUCCCUCUCUGGCUCAAUUCCUGCUUUUCUUCCCUCUGUUCCUUUAUCCUGCUAGUGUCUUCCUUUUCAACCAUAGCCAACACUCCAUCUUCAAAUGCUUAGCGAUACAACUUAUACCUCAACUAUCUGGAAAGGCUUUCUGAACUAAGUAGGAGAAGUUGUAAAUAUUUAACUUUUUAUUUUUCUAAAUUAUCUGAUUAUAAGCAACAGUAAAACAAAGAUCCCAUAUUAUUAUCUGCAGAGUUAAUUUGGGGACAACAGGGACCUCUUAGUUUUUUUGAUUAAUUUUAAACUUACUUGUAAUUAAUUGGUAGUAUAUGUUACAAACCAUUAAAAAUUACUUAACAGUAAUCACUUUUGAAAAUAGGAGGAAAAUAAACAUUUUUAUGGCAGAUUUGUUUGCCUUAAGAAUUAUUUUGAAAGAAGUAUUAGAAUCGAGGCUUAGAAAAACGGUAGAGUGCUUGGCUGGGCGCAGUGGCUCACACCUGUAAUCCCAGCACUUUGGGAGGCCGAGGUGGAUGGAUCACGAGGUCAGGAGUUCGAGACCAGCCUGCCCAAUAUGGUGAAACCCUGUCUCUACUAAAAGUACAAAAAUUAGCCGGGCGUGGUGGCGCACGCCUGUAGUCCCAGCUACUCAGGAGGCUGAGGAAGAUCACUUGAACCCGGGAGGCAGAGGUUGCAGUGAGCCAAGAUUGUGCCACUGCACUGCAGGCUGGGUGACAGAGUGAGACUCCAUCUCAAAAAAAC